GGACUACUGGGGUAUCUAAUCCUGUUUGCUACCCACGCUUUCGUGUCUCAGCGUCAGUGGCGGUCCAGAGAGCCGUCUACACCACCGGUAUUCCUCCUGAUAUCUACGCAUUUCACCGCUACACCAGGAAUUCUACUCUCCCAUCCCGCACUCUAGUCUCCCAGUUUUCGGCGCACCCUCCCGGUUGAGCCGGGAGAUUUCACACCAAACUUAGAAAACCGCCUACACACCCUUUACGCCCAGUAACUCCGAACAACGCUCGCUGCCUACGUAUUACCGCGGCUGCUGGCAC
rnacentral:rRNA from 1 species